CCUUGCAGUUCUCCCUGUAGUUCUGGCCUGUUUCCCACUGAAGUUAAGCAAGGUUGAGCCUGGCCAGUACCUGGAUGGGAGACCUACUGGGCAAAACUAAGGCUGCUGCUGGAA
rnacentral:rRNA from 1 species